CUCACUCACAUAUUGUCUGUGGCUGCUUUUGUACUCAACAACUGUACUGAGGAGUUGUGACGGAGACAAAGGGACCACAAAGCUGAAAAUAUUUACUACCUGGCAAUUUACAAAAUUUCAGAAUUGCCUGGGUGGAACGAUUGCUUUCCUGUGCCAGGUACUUUGUAGGGGGCUGUACCUACAGUCUCAUUCAAUCAGCCUUACAAUGAUAAGAGGUUUAUCCAGGAAGAGACCAACCAAGUCCCAGACGAGCUCUGCCCACAUCAAGCGAGCUUCUGGAACGUGGCGGAAUGCUGC